rnacentral:lncRNA from 1 species
CGUUAGUUUUCGCGUUUGGCCUGUUUAUCAUUUGCCAUUUCGGGGACUUUUAUAGAAUUCUAUGCAAUAUGGGCUUUGGUAAUUUUUGAAGGCCGGACGAUAACUCAAAGUUGUUAAUUUCUGUGACAUUUGUUCUCUUGGGGUGAGUUGUCUCAUUGGCAAUCAUACCACAUCUUCUUAUUUUUACAUUUUCUUUAACAGGA